rnacentral:lncRNA from 1 species
GCAAAAGGGAAAGUUUUCCCAUGGGCCAACGUGGAUAUGUUUCUGUAAUAGUCUGCUCAGCCUUCUACAACAAGAUGUCGCAGACUGGGUGACUUAAACCAGGGAUCCUCAAACCCUGGCAAUGGAUCGGUACGGGUCAGUGGCCUGUUAGGAAUCAGGCCACGUAGCAGGAGUAUGAAUAUCUCUGAUGAAAUGAGACAAUGUCCAAGGGAAGCUGGUAUCUUCAAGAAGGUACUCAUGAUAAGAAGAGUGAGGACGCACACCUUUAACUUAAUAUGCAGCAGAGACAAGACUUUUCUUCAAACCCAAGUGCUCUAGCACCAUGCAUAUUUUGAAAAUAGUGACUAAGCACAUAAAAGUAAAAGAAAAAAUUGCAUUCAUGGACUCCUACUCUAAUGGAUGUAAGAGGUGACUCUAUCUAAAAUAACACUGGGAGAGAGGGCUCUUUCUGCUUCUUCUUUAAAUAUUGAGCAGCAAUGUUAAUGUUCCUUCAAAAUUUCUACAGCAAAAAAAAAAAAAGUGGCAGCAUAAAGUUGAGCAAACCUUAAAUUAGCCAGAGCAGCAGCAGUAGUGGCAGUCUCCCUCCAUAAGGUAUUGGCUAAGGAUUGUCCUUUGCAUAUGUCAGACACUGAAGAACUCCCAGCUUAGAGUGACAGGAGGGUCUCUGCAUCCAGAAGACGUACUUGAGACCCAGAACAAGCCACAUGGAACAAUGAGGAUUUGCUGUGAGCAUGACCAGGCUGUGGAGAACCAGCAGUGGUAGCUGAGAAGGUAGUAGCUGCAACAGCAUCAGAGGGUAAGGCAUGCCCUCUGAUACUCCAGGCUGUACCUGCCUUAAGCUUCAGCAGGGUCUGGAGGGUCUCUGCAUCCAGAACAUAUACAUGAGACCCAGAACAAGCCACAUGGAACAAUGAGGAUUUGCCUUGAGUAUGACCAGGCUGUGGAGAACCAGCAGUGAUAGUUGAGAGGGUAGUAGCUACAACAGCAUCAGAGGGCCAGGCACGCCCUCUGAUACUCCAGCCUGUAUCUGCCUUAAGCUUCAGCAGCAACACUCUAUCUUGGUAGCAUGUGAUCAGCUUUCAGAUGGUAGUGGCCGAAUCUCUGAGUCCACAGUGUACAGGCUUGAAUUUGACAACAGCUGGACAAGCACUCUGUCUAGGUCUAUUGUGGCCAAAAAAAAAAAAAAAAAAACGAAAGAAAAAGGAAGAAAGAGAAAAAAGGAAGGGAGGGAGGAAGAAAGACAGGCCAGCUCUUCAGGAUAAUGACAGAAGGAAGAACUCUGAGGUUUUCCUGUAAUGGAAAAAGUGCGAGUAAUAGCCAUAACCUUAUCAUUUUCUCAGACAGGAACACCAUAGACUACACAGUUGUGCAGGUUUUGCAGAUAAGAAUAAUCCCCAUUGAUUUGUGCAAUAUGUCAGCCAAAUGCUGAUUUGUGAAGCUAAUUAUAUUGGUUAUAAUCUAGAUGUAGAAAGAGAAAACAUUGAGUAUUCUAUAAUCACAUAAGUAGGAAUUAACAUAUUUUGAUUCAGCCUAAUUUACUAUUUGCCUAUCUGAUUCUCUGGUUUAGCAGAAGUUAACCAAGAAAACAGGAAGCCUGACUUGGGCCAGGUGACUUAUAUUGAAAUAGAGAAGACACUCAGUGAAAUCAUAUAACAUAAUUGCACUUGUUUUGCUACCUUGAAGGAUAAGUUCCAAAGAACUGUCCUAUCUGGUUGGAUGGUCAGUGCUUGUCAGUCUGGGUAAGUUCUCUGUGAAGAUAUUAUUAUUUUACAAAUGAACCCAUAUUUACAUUCUUACUUUUAUAAGCUAUUAAUUCUUGUACAUGUAAUAAUAUUUU